AGUGAACGCUGGCGGUAGGCCUAACACAUGCAAGUCGAACGGCAGCACAGUAAGAGCUUGCUCUUACGGGUGGCGAGUGGCGGACGGGUGAGGAAUACAUCGGAAUCUACUUUUUCGUGGGGGAUAACGUAGGGAAACUUACGCUAAUACCGCAUACGACCUACGGGUGAAAGCAGGGGAUCUUCGGACCUUGCGCGAUUGAAUGAGCCGAUGUCGGAUUAGCUAGUUGGCGGGGUAAAGGCCCACCAAGGCGACGAUCCGUAGCUGGUCUGAGAGGAUGGUCAGCCACACUGGAACUGAGACACGGUCCAGACGACUACGAGAGGCAGCAGUGGGGAAGAGUGGACAAUGGGCGCAAACCUGAUCCAGCCAUACCGCGUGGGUGAAGAAAGCCUUCGGGUUGUAAAGACCUUUUGUUGGGGAAGAAAAGCAGCAGGUUAAUACCCCGCUGUUCUGACGGUACCCAAAGAAUAAGCACCGGCUAACUUCGUG
rnacentral:rRNA from 1 species